rnacentral:lncRNA from 1 species
GAAUCGCAUCUAUCUUCCCCCCUCGGUUCCUGUUUCGAAUCUGUGUAACUGAGAUGUUUAUGGGUGGCAUAGAAUUGAUGGAUUCGACUCUGUGUAAAUCGCCCCUCCCGGCUUCAUUCCUCUCAACGCCACGACGGCGACACCGCAGGUAUUCAGGCCUUAAUUGAUGUAUGUUUCAGUGCCUGUAUUUUGAUUUUGAUAAAUUUGUGGUUUGCAGGCCGAUUCUCUACAUCAGAUACAAUACCUGAUGUUUCGUACAAACCCUAAAUCAGAUUCAGGCACAUGCUCUACAUUAUAUCCUCCAUCAAGGUAAGAGCUUUGAUGUUUAUAUCAAAUCCUGAUUCUCUUAGUUAGUAAAUUCCUCACAACCUCAGACUUUGUUUCAUAUCUGUUUUGUUAUUUCAGGGAGAUUUUGUUCCUUUUUUUUUUCCUUGGCUUUGCAG